UACGGGGGGAGCAAGCGUUGUUCGGAAUUACUGGGCGUAAAGGGCGCGUAGGCGGUCUUGUAAGUCUUGUGUGAAAUCCCUCGGCUCAACUGAGGAACUGCACGGGAUACUGCGAGACUUGAGUUCGGGAGAGGGAAGCGGAAUUCCGGGUGUAGCGGUGGAAUGCGUAGAGAUCCGGAAGAACACCGGUGGCGAAGGCGGCCUGCUGGGCAGUUGCUGACACUGAGGCGCGACAGCGUGGGGAGCAAACAGG
rnacentral:rRNA from 1 species